rnacentral:rRNA from 1 species
UACGUAGGGUGCAAGCGUUAAUCGGAAUACUGGGCGUAAAGCGUGCGCAGGCGGUUCUAUAAGACAGAUGUGAAAUCCCCGGGCUCAACCUGGGAACUGCAUUUGUGACUGUAGAGCUGGAGUACGGCAGAGGGGGAUGGAAUUCCGCGUGUAGCAGUGAAAUGCGUAGAUAUGCGGAGGACACCGAUGGCGAAGGCAAUCCCCUGGGCCUGUACUGACGCUCAUGCACGAAAGCGUGGGGAGCAAACAGG